CGAACGCUGGCGGCAUGCCUAAUACAUGCAAGUCGAACGAGAUCUUCGGAUCUAGUGGCGCACGGGUGCGUAACGCGUGGGAAUCUGCCCUUGGGUUCGGAAUAACAUCUGGAAACGGAUGCUAAUACCGGAUGAUGACGUAAGUCCAAAGAUUUAUCGCCCAAGGAUGAGCCCGCGUAGGAUUAGCUAGUUGGUGAGGUAAAGGCUCACCAAGGCUACGAUCCUUAGCUGGUCUGAGAGGAUGAUCAGCCACACUGGGACUGAGACACGGCCCAGACUCCUACGGGAGGCAGCAGUAGGGAAUAUUGGACAAUGGGGGCAACCCUGAUCCAGCAAUGCCGCGUGAGUGAUGAAGGCCUUAGGGUUGUAAAGCUCUUUUACCCGAGAUGAUAAUGACAGUAUCGGGAGAAUAAGCUCCGGCUAACUCCGUGCCAGCAGCCGCGGUAAUACGGAGGGAGCUAGCGUUGUUCGGAAUUACUGGGCGUAAAGCGCACGUAGGCGGUUAUUUAAGUCAGAGGUGAAAGCCCGGGGCUCAACCCCGGAACUGCCUUUGAGACUGGAUAACUUGAAUCCAGGAGAGGUGAGUGGAAUUCCGAGUGUAGAGGUGAAAUUCGUAGAUAUUCGGAAG
rnacentral:rRNA from 1 species